CCUACGGGAGGCAGCAGUAGGGAAUAUUUCACAAUGGGGGAAACCCUGAUGCAGCGACGCCGCGUGAAGGAAGAAGUAUUUCGGUAUGUAAACUUCUAUCAGCAGGGAAGAAAAUGACGGUACCUGACUAAGAAGCCCCGGCUAACUACGUGCCAGCAGCCGCGGUAAUACGUAGGGGGCGAGCUUUAUCCGGAUUUACUGGGUGUAAAGGGGUAGUAGGCGGUUUAGAAAGUGAGAAGUGAAAGCCCGGGGUUCAACUCUGAGACUGCUUUUGAAACGGUUGAACUAGAUUGCAGGAGAGGUAAGUGGAAUUACUAGUGUAGCGGUGAAAUGCGUAGAUAUUAGGAGGAACACCAGUGGCGAAGGCGGCUUACUGGACUGUAAAUGACGCUGAGGCUCGAAAGCGUGGGGAGCAAACAGGAUUAGAUACCCCUGUAGUC
rnacentral:rRNA from 1 species